GGCAGGAUGGCCGAGCGGUCUAAGGCGCUAGACUAAGGAUCUAGUCCGAAAGGGCGUGGGUUCGAAUCCCACUCCUGUCA
rfam:Wallemia sebi CBS 633.66 unplaced genomic scaffold WALSEscaffold_24, whole genome shotgun sequence.